rnacentral:rRNA from 1 species
GACGAACGCUGGCGGCGUGCUUAACACAUGCAAGUCGAACGGAAAGGCCCUGCUUUUGUGGGGUGCUCGAGUGGCGAACGGGUGAGUAACACGUGAGUAACCUGCCCUUGACUUUGGGAUAACUUCAGGUAACUGGGGCUAAUACCGGAUAGGAGCUCCUGCUGCAUGGUGGGGGUUGGAACGUUUCGGCGGGCGGGGAUGGACUCGCGGCUUAUCAGCUUGUUGGUGGGGGAGUGGCUUACCAAGGCUUUGACGGGUAGCCGGCCUGAGAGGGUGACAGGCCACAUUGGGACCGAGAUACGGCCCAGACUCCUACGGGAGGCAGCAGUGGGGAAUAUUGCACGAUGGGCGGAAGCCUGAUGCAGCAACGCCGCGUGCGGGAUGACGGCCUUCGGGUUGUAACCCGCUUUCGCCUGUGACGAAGCGUGAGUGACGGUAAUGGGUAAAGAAGCACCGGCUAACUACGUG